AGCAGCAGCCGCGGUAAUACGAAGGGUGCAAGCGUUACUCGGAAUUACUGGGCGUAAAGCGUGCGUAGGUGGUGGUUUAAGUCCGUUGUGAAAGCCCUGGGCUCAACCUGGGAAUUGCAGUGGAUACUGGGUCACUAGAGUGUGGUAGAGGAUAGUGGAAUUUCCGGUGUAGCAGUGAAAUGCGUAGAGAUCGGAAGGAACAUCUGUGGCGAAGGCGACUAUCUGGGCCAACACUGACACUGAGGCACGAAAGCGUGGGGAGCAAACAGGAUUAGAGACCCCUGUAGUCCCUGUCUCUUAUAC
rnacentral:rRNA from 1 species